CGGACUGCACAGGACAGCGUAGGAGGUAACACCUCUCCACCGAAAGGCCGCAAGGCACCAAGGUGAGGAUUAGAGCAACAGAGACGAGCCGAUUCAGUUCGGGUGAAACGGGCAAUCUCUACGCGCAGCAAUACCAAGUAGGCACACGUUGAUCUGGUUCCGGAGAGUGUGCGGGUAGGUAGCGCCGAGCCGAGUGGGCGACCCUCGGCCCAGAGUAAUGGCGGUCACAUUGGGGGCAACUCCAAUGCACAGAAUCCGGCUUAUCGGUGGGCUUCACAC
rnacentral:RNase_P_RNA from 1 species